AACCACUAUUCACCUGGAGUGAAUAGAAAACUGGGAAAACUGGACUUCUAUACUCCAAAACUCCUGGCCAUAUUUGAGAUGAAGGGUGGGGUUGCUGGCACAAAAAUAAGAAGUGUGCUGGAUUCACUUAGUCAACAACACGAAGGUAGGCGAGAUGCUAUUAUCCGCUGCCUCAUUAUCUUUCUGGGAGAAUCAUCUGAGGAGCUCAUCAAAGACUACCAGUGUUUUGAACAGAAUCAAAGGCUGAACAGCAAUGCAUCUGCUAAAAGUCAAGCUGUGCAGUUACCCUACGGUUUCAGGCUGUUGAUGAUGAAUGUGGAUGCAACAAAGAACAAAGGCAGAAGACAGGAGAUGCUGCUUUAUUUCUGAAGUGUGUCUGGAGAAACUGCAAUCAGAGGGGAAAUUUCAUUUCAUUUUGUGAUUACUGUAUCCCUGACUUUGAAGUUGUGCCACACAGGGCAGCACAACUAGAACAUAUCUUCGUCAGGGGUUAAAUUGGGGUGGAACGGACAGGAACAGCGUUCCGGCACUCUCUAGGUCGGAGGAGAGGGCAUCCCAGUCAUUGCCCGCCAGUAGUAGUGGAGAAAGCUCAGUGUGAAACACGAGCAUCAAUGAAGAGAUGGACAGAAGAGGAGCCAAGUGGAAUUUACUGACUGAUUAUUUUCAUGGGUAUUUUGUCGUGAUUUUUACUAUACAAUAACAGUGCACACCAAUUAAAUAAAUUAAUAAAAAC